rnacentral:rRNA from 1 species
AUUGAACGCUGGCGGCAUGCCUUACACAUGCAAGUCGAACGGCAGCACGGGUGCUUGCCCCUGGUGGCGAGUGGCGCACGGGUGAGUAAUACAUCGGAACAUGUCCUGUAGUGGGGGAUAGCCCGGCGAAAGCCGGAUUGAUACCGCAUACGAUCUACGUAUGAAAGCGGGGGACCUUCUGGCCUCGCGCUUUAGGGUUGGCCGAUGGCUGAUUAGCUAGUUGGUGGGGUAAAGGCCUACCAAGGCGACGAUCAGUAGCUGGUCUGAGAGGACGACCAGCCACACUGGGACUGAGACACGGCCCAGACUCCUACGGGAGGCAGCAGUGGGGAAUUUUGGACAAUGGGCGAAAGCCUGAUCCAGCAAUGCCGCGUGUGUGAAGAAGGCCUUCGGGUUGUAAAGCACUUUUGUCCGGAAAGAAAUACUUGGCCCUAAUACGGUCGGGGGAUGACGGUACCGGAAGAAUAAGCACCGGCUAACUACGUG